AACGAACGCUGGCGGCAUGCCUAAUACAUGCAAGUCGAGCGAGCGGCGGACGGGUGAGUAAUGUCUGGGCAACUGCCUGCUGGAGGGGGAUAACUACUGGCAACGGUAGAUAAUACCGAAUAACAUCAGAUGUGCCCUGAUGGGAUUAGCUAGUGGGUGGGGUAAUGGCUCACCAAGGCGACUAUCCCUAGCUGGUCGGAGAGGGUGACCGGCCACACUGGGACUGAGACACGGUCCGGACUCCUACGGAAGGCAGCAGUAGGGAAUAUGGGGAAAUGGGCGAAAGCCUGAUACAGCCAUGCCACGUGUGUGAAGAAGGUCUUCGGGUUGUAAAGCCCUUUCAUCAGGGAGGCGUUACUCACCCAGAAAGCACCGGCUAACUCCGUGCCAGCAGCCGCGGUAAUAC
rnacentral:rRNA from 1 species